rnacentral:rRNA from 1 species
GACGAACGCUGGCGGCGUGCUUAACACAUGCAAGUCGAACGGAAAGGCCCGGCUUUGUGGGGGUCGGCGGGGGGCGAAGGGGGGAGGAACCCGUAGGUACGCUGCCCCUGACGGUGGGAUGACUUCAGAAAGCAGGUGCUAAUACGGGGUAGGAGCUCUUGCUGCAUGGUGGGGGCGGGAAAGUUUCGGCGGUUGGGGAUGGACACGCGGCUUUUCGGCUUGGUUGUGGGGUAGUGUCUUACCAAGGCUUUGACGGGUAGCGGGCCUGAGAGGGUGAGCGGCCCCAUUGCGACUGGGCUGCGGCCCAGCCUACUCCGGGAGGCAGCGGUGGGGAAUAUUGCACAGCGGGCGGAACCCUGAUGCAGCAACGCCACGUCGGGGAUGACGGCAUUCGGUUUGUAUACUGCUUUCGUCUGUGCCGAGGCGUGAGUGACGGUAAUGGGUAAAGAAGCCCCGGCUAACUACGUG